rnacentral:rRNA from 1 species
AUUGAACGCUGGCGGCAGGCCUAACACAUGCAAGUCGAGCGGAUGAGAAGAGCUUGCUCUUCGAUUCAGCGGCGGACGGGUGAGUAAUGCCUAGGAAUCUGCCUGGUAGUGGGGGACAACGUUUCGAAAGGAACGCUAAUACCGCAUACGUCCUACGGGAGAAAGCAGGGGACCUUCGGGCCUUGCGCUAUCAGAUGAGCCUAGGUCGGAUUAGCUAGUUGGUGAGGUAAUGGCUCACCAAGGCUACGAUCCGUAACUGGUCUGAGAGGAUGAUCAGUCACACUGGAACUGAGACACGGUCCAGACUCCUACGGGAGGCUG